rnacentral:lncRNA from 12 species
UGGGGAUCCCUCUCAGGAUUUGGGGAUCCCUCUCAGGAUUUGGGGAUCCCUCUCAGGAUUUGGGGAUCCCUCUCAGGAUUUGGGAGUUUCUGCACACGUCUCUCAGGGGUGUGUGCCCAUGGCAGGCUGUGUGUUGCAGGGGGCCGUGGAGUCCAUCGCCAUGAAGAACCCCAAGGAGCGCACGGCGCUGUUUGAGGAGAUCAGCCGCUCGGGGGAACUGGCCCCCGAGUACGACAAGCGCAAGAAGGAGAUGGUGAAGGCCGAGGAGGACACGCAGUUCAAUUAUCACCGCAAGAAGAACAUCGCGGCCGAGCGCAAGGAGGCCAAGCAGGAGAUGGUGAAGGCCGAGGAGGACACGCAGUUCAAUUAUCACCGCAAGAAGAACAUCGCGGCCGAGCGCAAGGAGGCCAAGCAGGAGAAGGAGGAGGCCGACCGCUACCAGCGCCUCAAGGACGAGGUGGUUCGGGCCCAGGUGCAGCUGCAGCUUUUCAAACUCUUCCACAACGAGGCCGAGAUCGAGAAGCUCAACAAGGAGCUGGGGCUGAAGAACCGCGAGAUCGACAAGGACAAGAAGAGGAUGGACAGGGUGGAGGACGAGCUCAAGGACCGCAAGAAGGAGCUGGGCAAGAUGAUGAGGGAGCAGCAGCAGAUCGAGAAGGAGAUCAAGUGAGCCUGGGGUCCUGGUCCUGGGCUUGGGGGUCCUGGAUUUGGGGGUCCUGGGUUUUGGGGGGUGCUGGGA